rnacentral:rRNA from 1 species
AUUGAACGCUGGCGGCAGGCCUAACACAUGCAAGUCGAACGGUAACAGGAAGCAGCUUGCUGCUUUGCUGACGAGUGGCGGACGGGUGAGUAAUGUCUGGGAAACUGCCUGAUGGAGGGGGAUAACUACUGGAAACGGUAGCUAAUACCGCAUAACGUCGCAAGACCAAAGAGGGGGACCUUCGGGCCUCUUGCCAUCGGAUGUGCCCAGAUGGGAUUAGCUAGUAGGUGGGGUAACGGCUCACCUAGGCGACGAUCCCUAGCUGGUCUGAGAGGAUGACCAGCCACACUGGAACUGAGACACGGUCCAGACUCCUACGGGAGGCAGCAGUGGGGAAUAUUGCACAAUGGGCGCAAGCCUGAUGCAGCCAUGCCGCGUGUAUGAAGAAGGCCUUCGGGUUGUAAAGUACUUUCAGCGGGGAGGAAGGGAGUAAAGUUAAUACCUUUGCUCAUUGACGUUACCCGCAGAAGAAGCACCGGCUAACUCCGUGCCAGCAGCCGCGGUAAUACGGAGGGUGCAAGCGUUAAUCGGAAUUACUGGGCGUAAAGCGCACGCAGGCGGUUUGUUAAGUCAGAUGUGAAAUCCCCGGGCUCAACCUGGGAACUGCAUCUGAUACUGGCAAGCUUGAGUCUCGUAGAGGGGGGUAGAAUUCCAGGUGUAGCGGUGAAAUGCGUAGAGAUCUGGAGGAAUACCGGUGGCGAAGGCGGCCCCCUGGACGAAGACUGACGCUCAGGUGCGAAAGCGUGGGGAGCCAACAGGAUUAGAUACCCUGGUAGUCCACGCCGUAAACGAUGUCGACUUGGAGGUUGUGCCCUUGAGGCGUGGCUUCCGGAGCUAACGCGUUAAGUCGACCGCCUGGGGAGUACGGCCGCAAGGUUAAAACUCAAACGAAUUGACGGGGGCCCGCACAAGCGGUGGAGCAUGUGGUUUAAUUCGAUGCAACGCGAAGAACCUUACCUGGUCUUGACAUCCACGGAAGUUUUCAGAGAUGAGAAUGUGCCUUCGGGAACCGUGAGACAGGUGCUGCAUGGCUGUCGUCAGCUCGUGUUGUGAAAUGUUGGGUUAAGUCCCGCAACGAGCGCAACCCUUAUCCUUUGUUGCCAGCGGUCCGGCCGGGAACUCAAAGGAGACUGCCAGUGAUAAACUGGAGGAAGGUGGGGAUGACGUCAAGUCAUCAUGGCCCUUACGACCAGGGCUACACACGUGCUGCAAUGGCGCAUACAAAGAGAAGCGACCUCGCGAGAGCAAGCGGACCUCAUAAAGUGCGUCGUAGUCCGGAUUGGAGUCUGCAACUCGACUCCAUGAAGUCGGAAUCGCUAGUAAUCGUGGAUCAGAAUGCCACGGUGAAUACGUUCCCGGGCCUUGUACACACCGCCCGUCACACCAUGGGAGUGGGUUGCAAAAGAAGUAGGUAGCUUAACCUUCGGGAGGGCGCUUACCACUUUGUGAUUCAUGACUGGGGAGAAGUCGUAACAAGGUA